rnacentral:rRNA from 1 species
UGGGGAAUAUUGCGCAAUGGGGGAAACCCUGACGCAGCAACGCCGCGUGGAGGAUGAAGGCCUUCGGGUCGUAAACUCCUGUCAGGUGGGAAGAAUAGGUUUCGGCUAAUACCCGAAACUGUUGACGGUACCACCAGAGGAAGCCCCGGCUAACUCCGUGCCAGCAGCCGCGGUAAUACGGAGGGGGCAAGCGUUAUUCGGAAUCAUUGGGCGUAAAGGGCGCGUAGGCGGCUUGGCAAGUCAAAGGUGAAAUCCCUCGGCCCAACCGAGGAACUGCCUUUGAUACUGCCUCGCUUGAGGCCGGGAGAGGGUAGCGGAAUUCCCAGUGUAGCGGUGAAAUGCGUAGAUAUUGGGAGGAACACCAGUGGCGAAGGCGGCUACCUGGACCGGUUCUGACGCUGAUGCGCGAAAGCGUGGGGAGCAAACAGG